rnacentral:misc_RNA from 1 species
AACGCACAUUGCGCCCCUUGGUAUUCCGGGGGGCACACCUGUUCGAGCGCCAUUUCAACCCUCAAGCAUAGCUUGGUGUUGGGUAUGGUCCUAGGGGACCUGCCCGUAACUUGUAGGCGGUCGCCGCCCAUACCCCCAGCGUAGCAAGCUUUUCACGCGUUCGCUCGGGGAAUGGUGUGAUCCGGCAGCCCGAAAAAAUAUUUUUCAAGGUUUGGCCUCGGAUCAGGUGGGGAUACCCGCUGAACUUAA